ensembl:lncRNA FOXD3-AS1 FOXD3 antisense RNA 1
GGUAAGUCGAGUGGAUCCGGGAAGAGGCCUGGUGUCUUCAGGUGUGGACAAAUCCUCCAAGAUUUAACUUCCAAGAAAACCGGCGGCGGAGCGGGUGGAGGAGGCGAGGAUGUGUGGCCAAUGCACGCGGAGUGCAAGGCAAGCCGCCUAGUUGGGAGCCGCAAGAGCCUGCCUGGUGUGGCAGGCACACGGAACCCAAUCCCUGUCUGUCCGCUGCGGCCUGGGAGGGGAGCGCCGGCCUCACCAGAGGAAGGAGCACGAGGGGAGGAGUUCCGAGAGGAAAUAAUUAGUGAAAUAUUUGCAGAAGAUGCUGGGAUGUGGAUUUAAUUCCGGAUGGACAGUGGUGCUUCUGAUUCCCUCAGUCUGUUUCCCCACCCACGAUCUCCUCUUUCCUUGGCCUAGACACACCAAAAAUAAUUCAAUAAAAUAAAAAUAAAAAUUUAAAAAUC